UGUGAGUCGUUGCAGCAAUGCAAGGCAGACGGCUCAGUAACACGUAGUCAACCUAACCUAUGGACGGGGAUAACCUCGGGAAACUGAGAAUAAUACCCGAUAGAUCAUGAUACCUGGAACGGUUUAUGGUUCAAAUGAUUUAUCGCCAUAGGAUGGGACUGCGGUCUAUCAGCUUGUUGGUGAGGUAAUGGCCCACCAAGGCUAUAACAGAUACGGGCUCUGAGAGGAGGGGCCCGGAGAUGGGUACUGAGACACGGACCCAGGUCCUAUGGGGCGCAGCAGGCGAGAAACCUUUGCAAUGUGCGAAAGCACGACAAGGUUAAUCCGAGUGAUUCCUGCUAAAGGAAUCUUUUGUUAGUCAUAAAACCACUGAUGAAUAAGGGGUGGGCAAGUUCUGGUGUCAGCCGCCGCGGUAAUACCAGCACCUCGAGUGGUCAGGAGGUUUAUUGGGCCUAAAGCAUCCGUAGCCGGCUGUUCAAGUUUCCGGUUAAAUCCACACGCUUAACGUAUGGGCUGCCGGAAAUACUGUUCAGCUAGGGAGUGGGAGAGGUAGACGGUACUCGAUAGGAAGGGGUAAAAUCCUUUGAUCUAUUGAUGACCACCUGUGGCGAAGGCGGUCUACCAGAACACGUUCGACGGUGAGGGAUGAAAGCUGGGGGAGCAAACCGGAUUAGAUACCCGGGUAGUCCCAGCUGUAAACGAUGCAGACUCGGUGAUGCAUUGGCUUGUGGCCAGUGCAGUGCCGCAGGGAAGCCGUUAAGUUUGCCGCCUGGGAAGUACGUACGCAAGUAUGAAACUUAAAGGAAUUGGCGGGGGAGCACCACAAGGGGUGAAGCCUGCGGUUCAAUUGGAUUCAACGCCGGAAAGGGCGAAUUCCAG
rnacentral:rRNA from 1 species